rnacentral:rRNA from 1 species
UACGGAGGGUGCAAGCGUUAUCCGGAUUCACUGGGUUUAAAGGGAGCGCAGGCGGAUUUGUAAGUCAGUGGUGAAGGGCUUAAGCUUAACUUGGGAACUGCCAUUGAUACUAUAAGUCUUGAAUGUUGUUGAGGUUUGCGGAAUGGGUCAUGUAGCGGUGAAAUGCAUAGAUAUGACCCGGAACACCUAUUGCGAAGGCAGCAGGCUAAACAAAUAUUGACGCUGAGGCUCGAAAGCGUGGGGAUCAAACAGG